GUUGUCGAUGACUUUGAUGACGAUGGGCGGCAUGUAGAGAUCCUCUCGGGGAAGCCUCUGGUGGAGGAAGAGCGUAUUGCAUCAACAACGAUUUCCCGUUCAGAGGAAAGUGGACCGUCACUGCUCCUGGAGAAGCAGGCUAGCGGUUUCCCUCCGUUUCAAGUCUUUAUGCUAAGCUAAGCUAACGUCUGCUGGCUUCGUAUUGAUUGUCAAUCUUCUCAUUUUAAACCGUGACGUUACCGGAUUGCGUAUAUUCAUUACAGAUCGUUUAUUAGUUUUAAAUAUUUGUGAUUUUCGGGCCUAUCUGUCAUUGAGUACGCCACCGCCACCUGCUUGGCGGGUUUAUUCAUUUUCCGGGAAAGAUUGUACGAUGUUUUAAAUACCGUGACUUUGAGCUAAUUUAUUGUAUUCAUUAAAGUUCGUUCUUUAGUUUGAAUUAAUUGUGUUUUAUAACGUGUUUAACCGCUGCUGAGUACGCCCCCGUCACCUCGGCCGCUUUGAAACCGACAAACAGCUUGGCGUGUUUAUUUAGUUUCGGGCAAGAUUGUACGAUGUUUCUUAUAAUGUGACUGAGCAAAUGUUUAUGUUUUUUCAUUACAGUUCGUUCUUUCGUUUGAAUUAAAUGAAUUAAAAGUGUUUUUCGGGCCAAACUGUCGUUGAGUACGCCGCCGCCUCCUCGGCAAACAGCUUGGCGCAUUUAUUAAGUUUCAGGCAAAAUUGUACGAUGUUUCUUAUACUGUGACUUUGAGCUAAUUUAUUGUUUUUAUUACAGCUCGUUCUUUAGUUUUAAUUAGUUGAAUAAAAAGUGUUUCAACUGUCGUUGAGUACGCCGCCGCCACCUCGGCAAACAGCUUUGCGUGUUUAUUUAGUUUCGGGCAAGAUUGUACGAUGUUUCUUAUACCGUGACUUUGAGCUAAUUUAUUGUCUUCAUUACAGCUCGUUCUUUAGUUUUAAUUCAUUGUGUUUUACGACGCGGUGGUUUUUGGGCUUCACUGCUGCCGAGUACGCCGCCGCCACCUCGGCCGCCUGCCGUGUUUUUUUAGUUUUGGGUGAGAUUGUAUGCAAUAAAGCCAUUUUAAAAAUGA